rnacentral:rRNA from 1 species
AAUGAACGUUGGCGGCGUGGAUUAGGCAUGCAAGUCGAGCGCGAACCCCGCAAGGGGUGAAAGCGGCGAAAGGGAGAGUAACGCGUGGGUAUCUGCCCUCGGGACUGGGAUAGCUGCGGGAAACUGCAGGUAAUACCAGAUGACGUCUCCGGACCAAAGGUGUGAUUCCGCCUGAGGAUGAGCCCGAGUCCUAUUAGCUAGUUGGUAGGGUAAUGGCCUACCAAGGCAAUGAUGGGUACUGGGUGUGAGAGCACGACCCAGCUCACUGGGACUGAGACACUGCACAGACACCUACGGGUGGCUGCAGUCGAGAAUCUUCGGCAAUGGGCGAAAGCCUGACCGGGCGACGCCGCGUGUGGGAUGAAGGCCUGCGGGUUGUAAACCGCUGUCAGAGGGGAGGAAUGGGCGGAGGGUAAUCUCUUCGUUUUGACCUAUCCUCAGAGGAAGUACGGGCUAAGUUCGUGCCAGCCGCCGCCGUAA